AACAACAACAAAAAAAAAAGCCAAACAAAAAUCAAGUAUUAAAUACCAAAUACCAGUGGUUCCUGGAACAGGCUUGAUUUUCUUCUGCAAGUAAUGCUAUCCCCACAAUUAUUUUUAUACUUUAUUUUUAUUUUUCCAUCUGGGAGAUUAUUGAGGAAAAGAAACCAUAAACCAUGAUUUUCUUGUUUUUGUUUUUUAGGUUUUUUUGGUUUACUGGGGCUUGAACUCAGGGCCUGAGCGCUGUCCCUGAGCUUCUUUUGCUCAAGACUAGUGUUCUACCACUUGAGCCACAGU